CAGCAGCAGCCACGGUAAUACGUAGGGUGCAAGCGUUAAUCGGAAUUACUGGGCGUAAAGCGUGCGCAGGCGGUUAUAUAAGACAGAUGUGAAAUCCCCGGGCUCAACCUGGGAACUGCAUUUGUGACUGUAUAGCUAGAGUACGGCAGAGGGGGAUGGAAUUCCGCGUGUAGCAGUGAAAUGCGUAGAUAUGCGGAGGAACACCGAUGGCGAAGGCAAUCCCCUGGGCCUGUACUGACGCUCAUGCACGAAAGCGUGGGGAGCAAACAGGAUUAGAUACCCGCGUAGUCCCUGUCUCUUAUAC
rnacentral:rRNA from 1 species